GAUGAACGCUGGCGGCGUGCCUAAUACAUGCCAGUAGAACGCUGAAGGAAGGAGCUUGCUCUUUCCGGAUGAGUUGCGAACGGGUGAGUAACGCGUAGGUAACCUGCCUGGUAGCGGGGGAUAACUAUUGGAAACGAUAGCUAAUACCGCAUAACAGUAGAUGUUGCAUGAUAUCUACUUAAAAGGUGCAAUUGCACCACUACCAGAUGGACCUGCGUUGUAUUAGCUAGUUGGUGAGGUAACGGCUCACCAAGGCGACGAUACAUAGCCGACCUGAGAGGGUGAUCGGCCACACUGGGACUGAGACACGGCCCAGACUCCUACGGGAGGCAGCAGUAGGGAAUCUUCGGCAAUGGACGGAAGUCUGACCGAGCAACGCCGCGGGAGUGAAGAAGGGUUUCGGAUCGUAAAGCUCGGUUGUAAGAGAAGAACGAGUGUGAGAGUGGAAAGUUCACACUGUGACGGUAUCUUACCAGAAAGGGACGGCUAACUACGUG
rnacentral:rRNA from 1 species